rnacentral:rRNA from 1 species
CCUACGGGUGGCAGCAGUAGGGAAUCUUCCACAAUGGACGAAAGUCUGAUGGAGCAACGCCGCGUGAGUGAAGAAGGGUCUCGGCUCGUAAAGCUCUGUUGGUAGUGAAGAAAUAUAGAGGAAGUAAGUGGUCUUUAUUAGACGGUAAUUACUUAGAAAGUCACGGCUAACUACGUGCCAGCAGCCGCGGUAAUACGUAGGUGGCAAGCGGUGUACGGAUUUAAUGGGCGUAAAGGGAGUGCGGGCGGUUAAAUAAGUCCGAUGUGAAAGCCUUCGGCUCAAACGGAGUAGUGCAUCAGAAACUGAUGAUCUUGAGUGCAGGAGAAGAGAGUGGAACGCCAGGUGUAGCGGUGGAAUGCAUAGAUAUAUGGCAGAACACCAGUGGCGAAGGCAGCUCUCUGGUCUGCAACUGACGCUGAGGCUCGAAAGCAUGGGUAGCGAACAGGAUUAGAUACCCUGGUAGUC